AAUCCUUCUUUGCAUUAUCAUCUCCAGAGGAUCUACAGUUGAUCCCAGGACAGAACCAGCCUUCUUUAUCAGGUUGUUGAGCCUUUUUAGGUCCCUGGCUCUGAUGCUGCUGCCCCAACAGAUGACGGCAGAGGAGAUGACUCUCAGCAACAGACUUAGAGAAAAUAUGCAGCAUCUUGUUGCAAACCUUCAAGGAUCUUAGCUUCCUCAAGAAGUACAGUCUGCUCAGUCCCUUCUUAUAGACAGCUUCAUUAUUGCGUCUCCAGUCCAGUGUGUUGUCCAGAUGAACAUCGAGGUAUUUAUAUUCCUCAACCACCUCCACUUCUUCUCCCAUGAUGGAGAUAGGGUUUGAGCUAACCCUGUUUCUCCUGGAAGCUACAAUCAUGAUGAUUGUUUCCACACCAUAACACAAAGCAGUCCACUAGCUCCCUGUCCUCAGCUUCUUGUCCAUCUCUGAUACACCCAUCCACUGCAGAAUUAUUGGAGUAUUUCUGAUACAGAAGCUGGA